CGCCGAAAAGACUGGCUGUGUGGCUGUGCUACGAGAAAUCGCCUUUUCUACUACAUAACAAUUGGGUUCAUAUAUUUGUAAAUCUGACUCUGAAAAGGUCAGUGCCUCACCAGCCACGGGCCUCACUACACGUCUCUGAUACCUAUCUGAUAUAUCAGAGCCGACUCCUGAGAGCAGACGUAUCUGAAGCUGUCAGGGAGGAACCAUGGCUACCAUCUCUGAACCGGACCCUGGACCCUCUGAGGAACCUGGGGACGCGUCUUUGGACCGGAGGGAGCGCAGGAAGAGAAGAUUUGCUGGUAGAGCAAAGAAGAAGGCUAACUUCAGACGCCGUGGAAGCCGUCAGAGAGUAACAAUGGUCACCAUCUCUGAACCAGACCCUGGGCUCUCUGAGGACCCUGAGGACACGUCUUUGGACCGGGAGGAGACCAGGAAGAGAAGAUUUGCUCUAUGGUUUCACAUCACUGUCAUUGUGAGCAUCGGACUGCUGAGUAUUCUCCUCAUCUCCCUGCGCUUCAGUGAGUCUAAAUCAUAUCCUCCUAAACAGAAUAACAAUACAGUAUAAUCAUAUCAUUGAUUGUAUUAAUGGCAAUGAUAAUGUUAAAUAUUGUUUUUGUCAGAUUUAGUGAUAAUAAUA